rnacentral:piRNA from 1 species
UGCAGCGCCUCCCAGGAAAUUUCCUCAG